rnacentral:rRNA from 1 species
GACGAACGCUGGCGGCGUGCCUAAUACAUGCAAGUAGAACGCUGAAGGAGGAGCUUGCUCUUCUGGAUGAGUUGCGAACGGGUGAGUAACGCGUAGGUAACCUGCCUGGUAGCGGGGGAUAACUAUUGGAAACGAUAGCUAAUACCGCAUAACAGUAGAUGUUGCAUGACAUUUACUUAAAAGGUGCAAUUGCAUCACUACCAGAUGGACCUGCGUUGUAUUAGCUAGUUGGUGGGGUAACGGCUCACCAAGGCGACGAUACAUAGCCGACCUGAGAGGGUGAUCGGCCACACUGAGACUGAGACACGGCCAGACUCCUACGGGAGGCAGCAGUAGGGAAUCUUCGGCAAUGGACGGAAGUCUGACCGAGCAACGCCGCGUGAGUGAAGAAGGUUUUCGGAUCGUAAAGCUCUGUUGUAAGAGAAGAACGAGUGUGAGAGUGGAAAGUUCACACUGUGACGGUAUCUUACCAGAAAGGGACGGCUAACUACGUG